GUGCACGAUGGCGCAGUUGGUAGCACUGUUGCCUUGGAAGCCAGAAGGUUCUGUGUUCGACUCCCGGCCGGGGCU